rnacentral:rRNA from 1 species
GAUGAACGCUGGCGGCGUGCCUAAUACAUGCAAGUCGAGCGAAUGGAUUAAGAGCUUGCUCUUAUGAAGUUAGCGGCGGACGGGUGAGUAACACGUGGGUAACCUGCCCAUAAGACUGGGAUAACGCCGGGAAACCGGGGCUAAUACCGGAUAACAUUUUGAACUGCAUGGAUCGAAAUUGAAAGGCGGCUUCGGCUGGCACUUAUGGAUGGACCCGCGUCGCAUUAGCUAGUUGGUGAGGUAACGGAUCACAAAGGCAACGAUGCGUAGCCGACCUGAGAGGGUGAUCGGCCACACUGGGACUGAGACACGGCCCAGACUCCUACGGGAGGCAGCAGUAGGGAAUCUUCCGCAAUGGACGAAAGUCUGACGGAGCAACGCCGCGUGAGUGUUGAAGGCUUUCGGGUCGUAAAACUCUGUUGUUAGGGAAGAACAAGUGCUAGUUGAAUAAGCUGGCACCUUGACGGUACCUAACCAGAAAGCCACGGCUAACUACGUGCCAGCCGCCGCCGUAA